ACUUGGAAACAGGGGCUAAUACCGCAGAACCAUAGUUACCGCAUGGUAACUAUGUAAAGAGGUGGCUAUACUACCGCUUUUGGAUGGGCCCGCGGCGCAUUAGCUAGUUGGUAGGGUAAAGGCUUACCAAGGCAAUGAUGCGUAGCCGAAUUGAGAGGUUGAUCGGCCACAUUGGGACUGAGACACGGCCCAAACUCCUACGGGAGGCAGCAGUAGGGAAUCUUCCACAAUGGGCGAAAGCCUGAUGGAGCAACGCCGCGUGGGUGAAGAAGGUCUUCGGAUCGUAAAACCCUGUUGUUAGAGAAGAAAGUGCGUGAGAGUAACUGUUCACGUUUCGACGGUAUCUAACCAGAAAGCCACGGCUAACUACGUGCCAGCAGCCGCGGUAAUACGUAGGUGGCAAGCGUUAUCCGGAUUUAUUGGGCGUAAAGGGAACGCAGGCGGUCUUUUAUGUCUGAUGUGAAAGCCUUCGGCUUAACCGGAGUAGUGCAUUGGAAACUGGGAGACUUGAGUGCAGAAGAGGGGAGUGGAACUCCAUGUGUAGCGGUGAAAUGCGUAGAUAUAUGGAAGAACACCAGUGGCGAAAGCGGCUCUCUGGUCUGUAACUGACGCUGAGGUUCGAAAGCGUGGGUAGCAAACAGGAUUAGAUACCCUGGU
rnacentral:rRNA from 1 species